rnacentral:rRNA from 1 species
UACGAAGGGGGCUAGCGUUGCUCGGAAUCACUGGGCGUAAAGGGUGCGUAGGCGGGUCUUUUAAGUCAGGGGUGAAAUCCUGGAGCUCAACUCCAGAACUGCCUUUGAUACUGAAGAUCUUGAGUUCGGGAGAGGUGAGUGGAACUGCGAGUGUAGAGGUGAAAUUCGUAGAUAUUCGCAAGAACACCAGUGGCGAAGGGCGGCUCACUGGCCCGAUACUGACGCUGAGGCACGAAAGCGUGGGGGAGCAAACAGG